rfam:Coprococcus eutactus CAG:665 genomic scaffold, scf147
GGGGUUGACUGGUUUCGACAGGGGUUUUGAAGCUAUGGAAGCCAUCCGUGGACCAGAGCCACGCUAAAAGCUGGACAAAAAAUAAACGCUAACGAUAAUUUAGCAUACGCUGCCUAGUUGCAGCCGUCAUCCUUUAGGAACGCCGAGCCUUUAGGAAUGGCGUCGACUUUCGGCAAACUCCUGCAUCUAAGCUUUGCGAUGUAGGAAAAUCCAUGAAGCUACUAAGGUCUAUAGCAUGUUAGUGGGCGAUAGGCUGAGGGAAUGUUAAAGCACUGACUGUGAUGGAAGAAACUGUAGUGAAUGAGCUUUUGGACGGGGGUUCGACUCCCCCCAGCUCCACUA